CCUCUACCAAUCGCUAAGGAUCUUUUGAUCUUUAUGUUUCGCUUCUUUAUUAUGUGUAAUUGUCAAUUCAGAAUUCGGGUGUAACUAGCAAUCAUUUGUUAGUUUGGAGAGCCACUGACUGAUGGUCAGACAUUUUGCUAUGCGGUGAUGGUCACCAUGACCAUUAUCAAAAUAGAGAAGACGCAGACGGUGGUGCUCUAUGGGAUGUCUUUAGGAGGAAA
rnacentral:lncRNA from 1 species